rnacentral:rRNA from 1 species
GUGGGGAAUCUUGCGCAAUGGGCGAAAGCCUGACGCAGCCAUGCCGCGUGAAUGAUGAAGGUCUUAGGAUCGUAAAAUUCUUUCACCGGGGACGAUAAUGACGGUACCCGGAGAAGAAGCUCUGGCUAACUCCGUGCCAGCAGCCGCGGUAAUACGAAGGGGGCUAGCGUUGCUCGGAAUUACUGGGCGUAAAGGGCGCGUAGGCGGACAGCUUAGUCAGAGGUGAAAGCCCAGGGCUCAACCUUGGAAUUGCCUUUGAUACUGGCUGUCUUGAGUUUGGGAGAGGUGAGUGGAACUCCGAGUGUAGAGGUGAAAUUCGUAGAUAUUCGGAAGAACACCAGUGGCGAAGGCGACUCACUGGCCCAAUACUGACGCUGAGGCGCGAAAGCGUGGGGAGCAAACAGGAUUAGAAACCCGGGUAGUCC